GGGUAUUUACCCCAAAAAUACAAAAACACUAUUUGAAAGGGAUACAUGCACCCCUGUGCUUAUAGCAGCAUUAUUUAUAAUAGUUAAGUUAUAGAAGCAGCCAAAUGUCCAUCGAUAGAUGAAUGGAUAAAGAAGAAGUGGAAUAAAAAGGGGAGGAGCAAGAUGGAGGAGGAGUAGGAGGCCUAAAUUUCAUCUGGUCCCAGGAAUUCAGCUAGAUAGGGAUCAAACCAUUCUGAACACCUACGAACUCAAGAGGAGAUCGAAGAAAAGAAUAGCAACAACUCUCUGAACAGAAAAGCGACCACUUUCUGGAAGGUAAUCUCUACACCCAGUGUGGGGUCUGAACUCACAACUCCAAGAUCAAGAGUCCCAUGCUCCAUGGACUGAGCCAGCCAUGUGCCCCUGCAGGCCCAUUUUCAACUUUUGACCUCUACAACGGAUGGCCACCGCAAAGCUUUUUGGAAUCUUCUCUGUGUUUUCUGGAUCCUCACUUCCUCUCAAAGUAUGUCUGGACUUACCCUAUUUUCUAGCCUUGGAAGAGAGGAAGAGAAGCUGUAGAAGAGAAUCAUCUGGAUUGGCAGUCACGUGCUCUGCACAGACCUCAAGUGUGAAUCUGACUUUAUUCACAAAAUGGGAUGACCCUGCAUGACCACCUCUAGAGGCCUCGAUUUCCUCAUCUGUAAAACAAAAGUCCAAAUACUGAGUGACCUUUAGUUUUCCACAAAGUAGACCUUUUUAAAAAAGAUUUUCCUCCUGCAUUUAAAUAUUCCUUUGAUUUUAUUUGAUUCUGAGCUUAUGCCAAAUUUAUAUCAUUUUUUCUAAGGGACUUCAAUUUUAAAGGGAGUCUUUAUUUUAUUUUGGGGUGCUAUAGAUUGAGUUAGAAUUAAGGACCACCCAACAUUGAUCCUUUAAGGUUCAAUAUGGAAAUCUGAAUCCAACAAAAUCAUAUUUAGGUUUGGUAACAGCAAAGUGACUUUAUUCUGACUACCUUCACCAGCCAUUUGAAAAUUUAUACCAUCUUCUAUGAUGACAUACAGAUGUUAGGGUGAUCCACCAUCCUGGUUUGCCCCUACUAUCCUCAUUUUAGCACUGGAAGUCCUGAGUCUCAGGAUAGUUCAGUAUGUUUGACUGAUGAGUAAUAUGAUCUUAAGUUUUAUCCUUAAAAGUUCUCUUCUGCUUUUUUUUUAAAUUCCAAUUGGCUAAGUGGGCUCAUUUGUCCCUUGGUUUAGUAGACUUUAAGCUAGACAAGGUGGAAUGGAAAUUUAAAACACUCUGACUCUAAGGAGUGGUUUCAUAAUUCUUCUCCUUGCUCAUGAUCUCUGAUUUCAAUCAGAAAACAGAAAGCAACACUCAGGGAGCAAGGGAGGGAGACAGACUCAAACACCCUGGCCUACCUGCAGAAUAUCCUAGCAGCUUGGCCUCACCUGUCAGGGGAGUUUGC